rnacentral:tRNA from 1 species
UGGCUCAGAGGUUAAAGCGUCUGCCUGCACUGCAGGAGACCCAGGUUCGAUCCCUGG